rnacentral:rRNA from 1 species
GAUAAACGCUGGCGGCAUGCCUAAUACAUGCAAGUCGAACGAAAGUAGCAAUACUUUAGUGGCGAACGGGUGAGUAACACGUGGGUAACUUAUCUUAGAGACGAGGAUAACAGUUGGAAACGACUGCUAAUACUGGAUAGGUUGGAUUAACGCAUGUUGAUCCAAUUAAAGAUGCGAUUCGCAUCACUCUAAGAGAGGCCCGCGGUGCAUUAGCUAGUUGGUGAGGUAACGGCUCACCAAGGCUACGAUGCAUAGCUGUGCUGAGAGGCAAAACAGCCACACUGGGACUGAGACACGGCCCAGACUCCUACGGGAGGCAG